GGCGCUGUAGUGUAGCGGUUAUCACUCGAGAUUCUGAUUCCAUUUGAUUUCUCGAAACCCAGGUUCGAUUCCUGGCAGUGCCU